rnacentral:tRNA from 1 species
GGACCGAUAGCUUAGUGGGAGAGCAUCUUCUUUGUGUGCAUAAGGUACUGGAUUCAUUCCCCAGCAUCUCCA